AAGAAAGUAAGAAAGGGCGUAUGGCGGAUGCCUAGGCUCACGGAGGCGAUGAAGGACGUGAUAAGCUGCGAUAAGCUUCGGGUAGGUGCAAAUAACCCUUGAUCCGAAGAUUUCCGAAUGGGACAACCUAGCCGUCUGAAGGACGGUUACUAGCACUUAAGUGUUAGAGCUAACGCAGGGAACUGAAACAUCUUAGUACCUGCAGGAAGAGAAAAUAAAUGAAUGAUUCCCCCAGUAGUGGCGAGCGAACGGGGAACAGCCCAAACCAGUGGCGUCGCAAGGCGUGGCUGGGGUUGUAGGACCGCGAUAUUGUACUGAAAUGGUGAGUGGAAGUAUCUGGAAAGUUACAUCACAGAAGGUGAUAAUCCUGUACACGAAGCCAAAUCAGACAUAGCGGUAUCCUGAGUAACGCGGGACACGAGGAAUCCUGCGCGAAUCUGCCGGGACCAUCCGGUAAGGCUAAAUACUCCCGUGAGACCGAUAGCGAACGAGUACUGUGAAGGAAAGGUGAAAAGAACCCCGAGCAGGGGAGUGAAAUAGUUCCUGAAACCAUACGCCUACAAGCGGUCGGAGCAUCUUACGAUGUGACGGCGUGCCUUUUGCAUAAUGAUCCUACGAGUUACCGUCACUGGCGAGGUUGAGUGUCACGAGACACGUAGCCGCAGUGAAAGCGAGCCUGAAUAGGGCGCACAGUCAGUGGGGGUAGACGCGAAACCAAGUGAUCUACACUUGGCCAGGAUGAAGUCCCGGUAACACGGGAUGGAGGUCCGCACCAAUAAGCGUUGAAAAGCUUCUGGAUGAGCCGAGUGUAGGAGUGAAAGGCCAAUCAAACUUGGAGAUAGCUCGUACUCCCCGAAAGGCAUUUAGGUGCCGCGUCGGAUGGUCACCGUGAGAGGUAGAGCGACCGAUAGGACAAGAGGGCUUCACCGCCUAUCGAGUCCUGACGAACUCCGAAUGCUCACGGUCUGCAGUCCGGCAGUAAGGGGGCGGGUGCUAAGGUCCGUCCCCGAGAGGAGAAGAAUCCAGACCGCCGUCUAAGGUCCCGGAGUUCUGCCUGAGUUAGUCUAACGAAGUCUGGUCCCUAUGACAGCUAGGAUGUUGGCUUGGAAGCAGCCAUUCAUUCAAAGAGUGCGUAACAGCUCACUAGUCGAGGGUCCGGGCAUGGAUAAUAAUCGGGUAUAAGGCAGACACCGAAGGCGCGGGAUAGCAAUUAUAAAAGUAUCGGUAGGGGAGCAUACUCACAGCGUCGAAUGGUGUACGUAAGUUAUCCUGGAGCGGUGAGUAAAGCAAAUGUAGGAAUAAGUAACGAUAAGGAGGGUUAGAUUCCCUCCCGCUGUAAGACCAAGGUUUCCCGGGCAAUGCCAAUCAGCCCGGGGUCAGUCGGGUCCUAAGUCUAAGCCGAACGGCGAUGGCGAUGGCAGAGACGGUUAAUAUUCCGUCACUGCCGCAUGGGGCGACGUGGAGACGGAGCAGUGAAACCACCGCGGGGCGACGGAAGUCCCCGUUGAAGAGUGUAGGCGUUGAGGAUGGCAGGCAAAUCCACCAUCCGAGCUGAACUUGAGAGUACGGAGUCCUCCUCGGAGGAAUCUGAUAGUGUGGGUAAUCAUACUCCCGAGAAAAUCCGCUAAGCUUAACCCAUGCGGCACCCGUACCGCAAACGGACACACGUGGUCGGGUAGAACAUACUAAGGCGUUGAGAGAUUCAUGGUUAAGGAACUAGGCAAAUUGACCCUGUAACUUCGGGAUAAAGGGUCCUCGUGAUGAGCGAGGCGCAGAGAAUAGGUCCAGGCAACUGUUUAACAAAAACACAGGGCUGUGCAAACUCGAAAGAUGACGUAUACAGCCUGACACCUGCCCGGUGCCGGAAGGUUAAGAGGAGAUGUCACUCGCAAGAGGAAGCAUUGAAUUGAAGCCCCGGUAAACGGCGGCCGUAACUAUAACGGUCCUAAGGUAGCGAAAUUCCUUGUCGGGUAAGUUCCGACCUGCACGAAUGGUGUAAUGAUCCGGACGCUGUCUCAACCAUGAGCUCAGUGAAAUUGUAGUAUCGGUGAAGAUGCCGAUUACCCGCGAUGGGACGAAAAGACCCCGUGAACCUUUACUACAGCUUAGCAUUGACCUUGGUCAUCCGAUGUGUAGGAUAGGCCGGAGGCUUCGAAGCGGGAGCGCCAGCUUUCGUGGAGCCAUCCUUGAAAUACGGCCCUUUGGCUGUCUGAGGUCUAACGCGCGAUGCGCGGACACUGCUUGGUGGGUAGUUUGACUGGGGUGGUCGCCUCCAAAAGCGUAACGGAGGCUUCCAAAGGUGCCCUCGGGUCGAUUGGUAACCGACCUCAAAGAGUGCAAUGGCAUAAGGGCGCUUGACUGGGAGGCAGACAUGCCGAGCAGGCAGGAAACUGGGGCAUAGUGAUCCGGCGGAUGUGUAUGGAAACUCCGUCGCUCAAAGGAUAAAAGGUACUCCGGGGAUAACAGGCUGAUCCCCCCCAAGAGCUCAUAUCGACGGGGUGGUUUGGCACCUCGAUGUCGGCUCGUCACAUCCUGGGGCUGGAGAAGGUCCCAAGGGUUGGGCUGUUCGCCCAUUAAAGUGGCACGCGAGCUGGGUUCAGAACGUCGUGAGACAGUUCGGUCUCUAUCUAUCGUGGGCGUGGGAGUUUUGAGUGGUGCCGUCACUAGUACGAGAGGACCGUGAUGGACAGACCUCCGGUUUACCAGUUGUGCCGCCAGGCGCACCGCUGGGUAUCUGAGUCUGGAUUGGAUAAGCGCUGAAAGCAUCUAAGUGCGAAGCCAGCCGCAAGAUGAGAACUCCAUUGAGGGUCGUCAAAGACGAUGACGUUGAUAGGAUGCAGGUGUAAAGACAGCGAUGUCAAAGCCGAGCAUUACUAAUUGCCCGAACACUUUCUUUA
rnacentral:rRNA from 1 species